UACGGAGGAUCCAAGCGUUAUCCGGAAUUACUGGGCGUAAAGAGUUGCGUAGGUGGUUUGUCAAGCAAAUAGUGAAAGCGUCCCGCUCAACGGGAUAUCCAUUAUUUGAACUGGCAGACUAGAGGAUGAGAGAGGUCGCUGGAAUUCCCUGUGUAGGAGUGAAAUCCGUAGAUAUAGGGAGGAACACCGAUGGCGUAGGCAGGCGACUGGCUCAUUCCUGACACUAAGGCACGAAAGCGUGGGGAGCAAACGGG
rnacentral:rRNA from 1 species